UUCGGAGCGUAAACUCCUUUUCUUGGGAAAGAAUUAUGACGGUACCCAAGGAAUAAGCACCGGCUAACUCCGUGCCAGCAGCCGCGGUAAUACGGAGGGUGCAAGCGUUACUCGGAAUCACUGGGCGUAAAGGACGCGUAGGCGGAUUAUCAAGUCUCUUGUGAAAUCUAACGGCUUAACCGUUAAACUGCUUGGGAAACUGAUAAUCUAGAGUAAGGGAGAGGCAGAUGGAAUUCUUGGUGUAGGGGUAAAAUCCGUAGAGAUCAAGAAGAAUACCCAUUGCGAAAGCGAUCUGCUGGAACUUAACUGACGCUAAUGCGUGAAAGCGUGGGGAGCAAACAGGAUUAGAUACCCUGGUAGUCCACGCCCUAAACGAUGUAUACUAGUUGUUGCUUCGCUAGUCGAGGCAGUAAUGCACCUAACGGAUUAAGUAUACCGCCUGGGGAGUACGGUCGCAAGAUUAAAACUCAAAGGAAUAGACGGGGACCCGCACAAGCGGUGGAGCAUGUGGUUUAAUUCGAAGAUACGCGAAGAACCUUACCCGGACUUGAUAUCUAACAAAUCAUCCAGAGAUGGAAGAGUGUCUGCUUGCAGAAAUGUUAAGACAGGUGCUGCACGGCUGUCGUCAGCUCGUGUCGUGAGAUGUUGGGUUAAGUCCCGCAACGAGCGCAACCCACGUCAUUAGUUGCUAACGGUUCGGCCGAGCACUCUAAUGAGACUGCCUUCGCAAGGAGGAGGAAGGUGUGGACGACGUCAAGUCAUCAUGGCCCUUAUGUCCGGGGCGACAC
rnacentral:rRNA from 1 species